GUGGUCAUACCACACCGGGAACACCGGUUCUCGUCUGAUUACCGAAGUUAAUCAACGCCAAACCCGGUUAGUACUUGCAUGGGUGACCGGCUCGAAAUACAGGAUGUUACGGCC
rnacentral:rRNA from 1 species